rnacentral:rRNA from 1 species
AGCAGCCGCGGUAAUUCCAGCUCCAAUAGCGUAUAUUAAAGUUGUUGCAGUUAAAAAGCUCGUAGUUGAAUUUCGGGAUCAAGGGAUCGGUCAUGCCUUGGUAUGUACUGGUCUUAUUGGUUCUCACCUUCUAAAGAACCAUAAUGUCAUUUAUUUGAUGUUAUGGGGAAUUAGGACUGUUACCUUGAAAAAUUAGAGUGUUUAAAGCAAGCUUACGCUUGAAUACAUUAGCAUGGAAUAAUGAAAUAGGACAUCAGAUUCUAUUUUGUUGGUUUCUAGGAUCGAUGUAAUGAUUAAUAGGGAUAGUUGGGGGCAUUAGUAUUCAAUUGUCAGAGGUGAAAUUCUUGGAUUUAUUGAAGACUAACUACUGCGAAAGCAUUUGCCAAGGAUGUUUUCAUUAAUCAAGAACGGAAGUUAGGGGAUCGAAGACGAUCAGAUACCGUCGUAGUC